GAAUAUUGGUCAAUGGACGCAAGUCUGAACCAGCCAUGCCGCGUGAAGGAUGAAGGCGUUCUGCGUUGUAAACUUCUUUUAUCAGGGAAGAAACCACUGAUUUCUAUCGGUGUUGACGGUACCUGAGGAAUAAGCACCGGCUAACUCCGUGCCAGCAGCCGCGGUAAUACGGAGGGUGCAAGCGUUAUCCGGAUUUACUGGGUUUAAAGGGUGCGUAGGCGGUCUAUUAAGUCAGGGGUGAAAUCCCGGGGCUCAACCCCGGAACUGCCUUUGAUACUAUUAGACUUGAAUUAUGUUGAGGUUGGCGGAAUAUAACAUGUAGCGGUGAAAUGCAUAGAUAUGUUAUAGAACACCGAUUGCGAAGGCAGCUGACUAAACAUUAAUUGACGCUGAGGCACGAAAGCGUGGGGAUCAAACAGG
rnacentral:rRNA from 1 species